rnacentral:rRNA from 1 species
AGAGUUUGAUCCUGGCUCAGGACGAACGCUGGCGGCGCGCCUAACACAUGCAAGUCGAACGGAGCUUAGAGAGCUUGCUUUUUAAGCUUAGUGGCGAACGGGUGAGUAACGCGUGAGUAACCUGCCCUAGAGUGGGGGACAACAGUUGGAAACGACUGCUAAUACCGCAUAAGCCCACGGUACCGCAUGGUACUGAGGGAAAAGGAUUUAUUCGCUUUAGGAUGGACUCGCGUCCAAUUAGCUAGUUGGUGAGGUAACGGCCCACCAAGGCGACGAUUGGUAGCCGGACUGAGAGGUUGAACGGCCACAUUGGGACUGAGACACGGCCCAGACUCCUACGGGAGGCAGCAGUGGGGGAUAUUGCACAAUGGGGGAAACCCUGAUGCAGCGACGCCGCGUGGAGGAAGAAGGUCUUCGGAUUGUAAACUCCUGUUGUUGAGGAAGAUAAUGACGGUACUCAACAAGGAAGUGACGGCUAACUACGUGCCAGCAGCCGCGGUAAAACGUAGGUCACAAGCGUUGUCCGGAAUUACUGGGUGUAAAGGGAGCGCAGGCGGGAAGACAAGUUGGAAGUGAAAUCCAUGGGCUCAACCCAUGAACUGCUUUCAAAACUGUUUUUCUUGAGUAGUGCAGAGGUAGGCGGAAUUCCCGGUGUAGCGGUGGAAUGCGUAGAUAUCGGGAGGAACACCAGUGGCGAAGGCGGCCUACUGGGCACCAACUGACGCUGAGGCUCGAAAGUGUGGGUAGCAAACAGGAUUAGAUACCCUGGUAGUCCACACCGUAAACGAUGAUUACUAGGUGUUGGAGGAUUGACCCCUUCAGUGCCGCAGUUAACACAAUAAGUAAUCCACCUGGGGAGUACGACCGCAAGGUUGAAACUCAAAGGAAU